rnacentral:tRNA from 1 species
GCCUGGGUGGCUCAGUCGGUUAAGCGUCUGACUUCGGCUCAGGUCGUGAUCUCGCGGUCCGUGAGUUCGAGCCCCGCGUCAGGCU